rnacentral:rRNA from 1 species
ACGCUGGCGGCACGCCUAACACAUGCAAGUCGAACGAAGUAGCAAUACUUAGUGGCAGACGGGUGAGUAACAUGUAGGUAUCUGCCCUUUGGCCUGGAAUAACACGAGGAAACUUGUGCUAAUACCGGAUAAGUCUUUACGGAGAAAGCUUUAUGCACCAUUGGAUGAGCCUGCACUUGAUUAGUUUGUUGGUGGGGUAAUGGCCUACCAAGACUGUGAUCAAUAGCUGAUUUGAGAGGAUGAUCAGCCACAUUGGGACUGAGACACGGCCCAAACUCCUACGGGAGGCAGCAGUGGGGAAUCUUGCACAAUGGAGGAAACUCUGAUGCAGCGAUGCCGCGUGAGUGAAGAAGGCCUUUGGGUUGUAAAGCUCUUUCGUCGGGGAAGAAAAUGACUGUACCCGAAUAAGAAGGUCCGGCUAACUUCGUGCCAGCAGCCGCGGUAAUACGAAGGGACCUAGCGUAGUUCGGAAUUACUGGGCUUAAAGAGUUCGUAGGUGGUUGAAAAAGUUGGUGGUGAAAUCCCAGAGCUUAACUCUGGAACUGCCAUCAAAACUUUUCAGCUAGAGUUUGAUAGAGGAAAGCAGAAUUUCUAGUGUAGAGGUGAAAUUCGUAGAUAUUAGAAAGAAUACCAAUUGCGAAGGCAGCUUUCUGGAUCAUUACUGACGCUGAGGAACGAAAGCAUGGGUAGCGAAGAGGAUUAGAUACCCUCGUAGUCCAUGCCGUAAACGAUGUGUGUUAGACGUUGGAAAUUUAUUCUCAGUGUCGCAGCGAAAGCAAUAAACACACCGCCUGGGGAGUACGACCGCAAGGUUAAAACUCAAAUGAAUUGACGGGGACCCGCACAAGUAGUGGAGCAUGUGGUUUAAUUCGAAGAUACGCGCAGAACCUUACCAACACUUGACAUGUUCGUCGCGACUUUAAGAGAUUAAAGUUUUCGGUUCGGCCGGACGAAACACAGGUGCUGCAUGGCUGUCGUCAGCUCGUGUCGUGAGAUGUUGGGUUAAGUCCCGCAACGAGCGCAACCCUCACUUUUAGUUGCCAUCAUUAAGUUGGGCACUCUGAAAGAACUGCCAGUGAUAAGCUGGAGGAAGGUGGGGAUGACGUCAAGUCCUCAUGGCCCUUACGUGUUGGGCUACACACGUGCUACAAUGGUAUCUACAACAGGAAGCAAAACGGCGACGUUAAGCAAAUCCCUAAAAGAUACCUCAGUUCGGAUUGCACUCUGCAACUCGAGUGCAUGAAGCUGGAAUUACUAGUAAUCGUGGAUCAGCGUGCCACGGUGAAUGCGUUCCCGGGUCUUGUACUCACCGCCCGUCA